AGAAAAGUGCUAUUUUGGUCAUUUUAGUUUUUGAGUGCUAUUUUUGUGAUAUAAACUUAGAAAAAUGCUAUUUUGGAGAUUUGCCCUUUUAAUUACCAGAUCUAUAUAUUUUUUGUUUGGUAAUUGAAUUUCUGAUUGAGACACAACAUGAAUCUUUGCCAUAAGCCUAUAAAUGGUGUCUUUUGUUCAAUCACUUUCUUGAAAUUUGAUCAGUUAUAGUAAUAAAUAACAUUAAAGACGUCCACAUCCAAACAGAUCAAAGAUUUGAAAAUCAUGAUGAAACCAUUAAAAAAAAUAUUACAGAAAACUGGUUUUUAACAGUCUGCGAGAACGUUUUGUUUUACAUUAUAGAUGAAUCGAAGAUGGACCAGAAACAGCGACCGCUUUCUCGGUAAACCUCUGUCUUCAUCUUCCUUGUUUCGCUUCUCGAUUCCAUGAGGCAUGAGUCUUCCUCUUGAUCGGUUCAGCUUUCGGAAUAGCCGGUUUGAACUUGGUUUGUUCAGCUUUCUUACCUGGAAGAAACUCUACAGGAAGCUUCUCCAUACCUUGGAAGGAGGGUCAAAGUCAUGUCGGAUCUAGAGUUGGAGCAAUUGAGGAAGUCUUUUCCAAAGUUUUGAAACUGGUAAAGAGCAAAGCUUUUUUAAAUUGGGUCAUGAUGUGUUGUAAGUGAAGUUUCAGCUAAUACCUAUAUAAACAGGUAACACAUAUUUUAAAUGAUACACCAAUUAUUAACAACUUACAAUAACGAUUGUUACAUGCUAAAUGUAUUGUUUUACUCCAUAACUUAAAUUUUAGUAACUAACUUAUCUGUUAAUACAUCAAUUAUUAUAUGUUUCAACUACUACCUAUGUUAACAGCUAAUACAUAUUUUAGAUGAUAAAUCAAUUAUUAACAACUUACAAUGACGAUUGUUACAUGCUACAUGUAUUUUUUUAUUUGUUAACUUAAUUUUUAGCAACGAACUUAUAUGUUACAUGUAAAAUUAUAUUAUAUAUCUGUUACUAAUUACUAAUACUGAAUUUUAAAGAAUGUAUCACCUAACUUGGUAAUCAAAUAAGUAUCUUAACAGAUACUAUAGUGUUAAUUUUUUUACUUAUAUCAUAUUUCUAUAAAUAUAUGGUUGUAUAUCAUACCAGAAAAUAGUAAUACAUGAUUUCUAACUAUGAAUCAAAGUCAUAUGAGAGUUACUAACCUUUAUCAUCAAUAGAAUUACUAUCAUGAAAUUCGUCGGUUUUAUCAAGAUUUGGUGUUAAAUCACUUUUGGUUUUCGUUGGAAUAUCAAAAAAUUGGCAUCCAAAAUUUUAUGUAUCUUGAUUGAAAAAUGAUAAAUCAACAAAUAUAUUCAAGGAAGAAAAAGAAAUGAAGAAAAAUGAACGAGGAGAAUCA